GGCUUAUUCCUCAGGAGUAUCACCAGACCAGGCUCGGUGUUUAUGUCAGCGUUUGGCUUGAGAGUUUCUGGACUGUCCCAGCCCGGUAAACCACGUGAUGCUGGGCUGGGAGUUUGGGAUUCUCUGGCUGAAACAGACAAACUUGCUUGUCACCCAUCUCCCUGUAGAUGGACACAUUUUCUCAGGUUCCCCCUUUCACUUUUCAGAGUUCUCAGGCCCACCUCUAGCCCUGGGUGUGCCCCAAGGAUGGCUCCUGUCCCCACAAGAGCGCUAAGCAUAAGCCCCUGCUGCUCACCCUUUCUUCACCCGGGGACAGAAGCCAGGUCGAUGGAUACGGUGUCUCUAGCAUGUUGUUGUCCCUCCCCUUUCGGAAGAGAAUGACGCAUCUGUGUACAAAGCAUCCGUGCUCCUUGUUGGGGUCAAAGCACAAAAUUGUGAGACUCAUAUGGAGAUCGAGUGUGGUAGGAAGGUGUGUAUGGGUGAUGGGUAGCCAAAGGGGUGGACUGUGCUGGUUACUGUAUCUCAGCCCCAGGCCCACUCCGCUUUCUGUUCUGUGAUGCUGUUGGUGGAUUACCGAGAACUACAUUUCCCAGGCUUCCUUGCCAGCAGGUUUCCUGUGAAAGUGGGCCUGCUAACAAGGGUGAGCUGAGGGAGACCCGGAAGUGAGACAUAGGAAGGGACUUGCUUGUGCUCUCCAGCACUCGUCAGCAGCAGUGGGUUUUAGCUCCAGCACGUAUCAGCUUUGUACCCACCUUCUUAGAAGUUCCAGCAUCGACUGCUUAGAAUCCAACCCUUUGUCCCAACAUAUCAAAAAAUCCAAACACUGGUUCCAAGGGCUCCUCCCUCCAAGGUCCUAGCCCCCUUCCAAGAUUACCCUUAUUUUCCCCUUCUGGUACAGGUAUUUGUGGCCUCGGGUAGUCCCCUCUCACACUGAUUUAGGGUUGACCUGUGUGACCAAUGGAACAUGGUAGAAGUAAUGCUGUGACUUCUGAGAUUAGGUCAUAGAAGGCAGUGGAGCUCCCGGUUUGCUCUCUUGGGAGGCUCACUCUAGAGGAUGCCACAGGGACACUCAAGGAGCACUGGGGAGGGGCCCUGAGAGGGACUGAGGCCUCUGGUCACCAGCCAGCAUCAACUUGCAGCUCUGUGAGUGAGCCCCAUACAAGGUCCUUGGGAGUCCAGCCCUGGUCACACCCUCAAAGGACUGCAGCCCCAGACGGUAUGUGACCACAACCUCAGGAGAGACCCCAGACCAAAACCACUCACCCAAGCUGCUCCCAGUUCUUAUAGAGAAGUUGUCAGCCACGAGCGAUUACUGUUCUUCUGGGCCACUGAGUUUAAGCGCUGCUUUGCUAUGCCAACACCUGAUCACUAAAGUAACCCCUCUUGCCCUAAGUGCCCCUGCCAGGGGGUGGUAGCUGCUUUCCAAAGUUCACCAUCUCUGGGUCAUCACAGUAUCUACUUUUUGCCCUUCCGCUGUCUUUCGACCACUAUAUAAGCAGUUCCCUGGAUGGGGGUGCCUGGGUGGCUCAGUUGGUUAAGUGUCCGACUCUUGAUUUCGGCUCAGGUCAUGAUCUCAUGAUUCCUGAGAUCGAGCCCCUGCUUGGGAUUCUCUCUGCCCCUCCCCGGCUUGUGCACAUGCUCUCUCUAAAAAAAAAAAAAAAAAAAAAAAAAAAGCAAAAUAAUUCCCAGGAUUAAGUGCCCUCUAUUUGAAAAAGCUAGUGUGGUUUUCCUGAUGGGAUCCCUUAAGGUU
ensembl:lncRNA